rnacentral:rRNA from 1 species
GAGCGGCAGACGGCUGAGUAACACGUUGGUACCUACCCCGUACUCGGGGAUAACUGCCCGAAAGGGUAGCUAAUACCGGAUAGUCUGGAAACAGUAAAGAUUUUUCGGUACGGGAGGGGCCUGCGGCCUAUCAGUUUGUUGGUGAGGUAAAAGCUUACCAAGACUAUGACGGGUAGCUGGUGUGAGAGCAUGACCCAGCCAGAAUGGGACUGAGACACGGCCCAUACUCCUACGGGAGGCAGCAGUAGGGAAUCUUCCACAAUGGACGAAAGUCUGAUGGAGCGACACCGCGUGAGGGAUGACACCUCUUGGGGCGUAAACCUCUUUUCUGAGAGAAUAAAGUUGUUGAAGGUAUCUCAGGAAUAAGCACCGGCUAACUCCGUGCCAGCAGCCGCGGUAAUACGGAGGGUGCAAGCGUUAUCCGGAUUCACUGGGCGUAAAGCGUCCGCAGACGUUUUCGUAACUCUUUGGUUAAAAUUCAGGGCUCAACCCUGAAAUCGUCAAGGAAAAGUGCGGAAAUAGAGGAAUAGAGAGGGAAGUGGAAUUCUCGGUGUAGGAGUUAAAUCCGUUGAUAUCGAGAGGAACACCAAAAGCGAAGGCAGCUUCCUGGCUAUUUCCUGGCGUUCAUGGACGAAAGUGUGGGUAGCGAAAAGGAUUAGAUACCCUUGUAGUCCACACCGUAAACGAUGGAUACUCGGUUUUUGAUUUCCCUUUUGGGAUUUUAAGAGCCUAAGCUAACGCGAUAAGUAUCCCGCCUGGGUAGUACGGUCGCAAGAUUAAAACUCAAAGGAAUAGACGGGGAUCUGCACAAGCGGUGGAUCAUCUGGCUUAAUUCGAUAAUAAACGGGGAACCUUACCAGGGCUUGAAAUCCUAACUAAUCCACGCCGGAAACGGUAGGAGUGCUUCGGCCGUUAGUGACAGGCGCUGCAUGGUUGUCGUCAGCUCGUGCCUUGAGGUGUUCGGUUAAGUCCGCAAACGAGCGCAACCCUCGCCAUGAUUUGUAUUUUUAUCAUGGGACUGCCUAGGUCAACUAGGAGGAAGGUGAGGAUGACGUCAAAUCGGCAUGGCCCUUACGCUCUGGGCUGCACAGAUGAUACAAUGGCUGGUACAGAGGGAAGCGAAGCUGCGAAGUGGAGCAAAUCUCACAAAGCCAGUCUCAAUUCGGAUCGUAGUCUGCAACUCGACUACGUGAAGCUGGAAUCGCUAGUAAUCGUGAAUCAGAUAUGUCACGGUGAAUAUGUUCUCAGAUCUUGUACUCACCGCCCGUCAAGUCAUGGAAGCUGGGGGUGCCCAAAGUCUGCUCAUUAAGGGUGGCCUAAGGUAAACCAGUGACUGGG